rnacentral:rRNA from 1 species
GAUGAACGCUAGCGACAGGCUUAACACAUGCAAGUCGAGGGGCAGCGGGGGUGAUGGCUUGCCAUCACCUGCCGGCGACCGGCGCACGGGUGAGUAACACGUAUGCAACCUGCCCGCCACAGGGGGAUAAGCGGAAGAAAUUCCGUCUAAUACCGCGUGACGCGGCGUCGGGGCAUCCCGGUGCCGCCAAAGGGAUUACCGGUGGCGGAUGGGCAUGCGGCGCAUUAGCUAGUCGGCGGGGUAACGGCCCACCGAGGCGACGAUGCGUAGGGGUUCUGAGAGGAAGGUCCCCCACACUGGUACUGAGACACGGACCAGACUCCUACGGGAGGCAGCAGUGAGGAAUAUUGGUCAAUGGGCGGGAGCCUGAACCAGCCAAGUCGCGUGAGGGAUGACGGUCCUACGGAUUGUAAACCUCUUUUGCCGGGGAGCAAGCGUGCGUUCGUGAACGCGCGUCGAGAGUACCCGGAGAAAAAGCAUCGGCUAACUCCGUGCCAGCAGCCGCGGUAAUACGGAGGAUGCGAGCGUUAUCCGGAUUUAUUGGGUUUAAAGGGUGCGUAGGCGGGAUGCCAAGUCAGCGGUAAAAAUGCGGUGCUCAACGCCGUCGAGCCGUUGAAACUGGCGUUCUUGAGUGGGCGAGAAGUAUGCGGAAUGCGUGGUGUAGCGGUGAAAUGCAUAGAUAUCACGCAGAACUCCGAUUGCGAAGGCAGCAUACCGGCGCCCUACUGACGCUGAGGCACGAAAGCGUGGGUAUCGAACAGGAUUAGAUACCCUGGUAGUCCACGCAGUAAACGAUGAAUGCUAACUGUCCGGUGCGAGUGAGCGCUGGGCGGUACAGCGAAAGCGUUAAGCAUUCCACCUGGGGAGUACGCCGGCAACGGUGAAACUCAAAGGAAUUGACGGGGGCCCGCACAAGCGGAGGAACAUGUGGUUUAAUUCGAUGAUACGCGAGGAACCUUACCCGGGCUCAAACGCAGGCUGACGGGUCCCGAAAGGGGCCUUUCUUCGGACAUUCUGCGAGGUGCUGCAUGGUUGUCGUCAGCUCGUGCCGUGAGGUGUCGGCUUAAGUGCCAUAACGAGCGCAACCCCUGUCCACAGUUGCCAGCAGGUAAAGCUGGGGACUCUGUGGAGACUGCCGGCGCAAGCUGCGAGGAAGGCGGGGAUGACGUCAAAUCAGCACGGCCCUUACGUCCGGGGCGACACACGUGUUACAAUGGCAGGUACAGCGGGAUGCCACGGGGCGACCCGGCGCUGAACCCGAAAACCUGUCUCAGUUCGGAUUGGAGUCUGCAACCCGACUCCAUGAAGCUGGAUUCGCUAGUAAUCGCGCAUCAGCCACGGCGCGGUGAAUACGUUCCCGGGCCUUGUACACACCGCCCGUCAAGCCAUGGAAGCCGGGGGUACCUGAAGUGCGUGACCGCGAGGAGCGCCCUAGGGUAAAACCGGUGACUGGGGCU